AGACUAUAUUGCCAACAAAUGUUCCUUCCCACUUUUUAACCAUGGGUAAAACUUCCCAAGAAAAGGACUCUGAAAACAGGCUGGUGUUGUGUUGCACAACCUGCAACAAAACAUAUUGUCUUUAAAGAUCAUUCAAAACCUACUGUUUUGCAAGUCUAUUGUGGUGUGGAAUUGCCCAGCUAGAUUGAUGUGGCAAGAUAUUUGGAAAGCAAGUUCAAACAUUUACUUGAGAAUUGGAUUGUGGGAGGAAUUUCAAACUUGUUUUUAGUUUUAUUUUUUUUCUGUACUGCAGUACUACUUGAAUCUGUAAUAUAUGAUCAUUAUUUGGCCUCCAAUUUAUUUUGAACCCAUUGAGGAUUUGUGGGAGACCUCCCAGUAAUUUCUUACUGUGUUUUGCAUAAGCCGUACCUCUGCUUUACAUAGGAUAAUCAGGAUAACAAUUAGUGCUCUUACAGUCCACAGAGUGAGAAGGAACUAGUGAGGAAGUUCUAAAAAGUAGCUUUAUUUCCCCGGCAUUCAAGAGAGCUAACUGCUUCAGAAUAAGCAAAGACUUACAGAAUAUAUUUUAUUAGCUUGCUGUGAACCAUCACAGAGAACUGAUUAUUUCUCAGGCCAGUCUACAAUAACCAUUCCUUCUGGCUUGUCUCCAGUAUUAUCUAGAAAAUUUCUUCCUAAGGCAAGAUGUCCCAGUGUGAUUUACAGCCCAAUCUGGCUAUCCAGAUAGAUAUUUGGUCUCCUGAGUAAUACAGAAAAACACUUCUCUCCUUUAUUCAACUAAAUUUCUUUUUGCAGAGGGAACUUUUUUAGGAGCACAAUCAGACUCUGUCCAAAACUCUUUAUGGCUUCCUCAGCUGGGGUUGCCAAAACACUCAGCAUUGAUCAAGCAGUCCUCCCACUAAGGCCAAUGGGAUCAAAGUGAGCCCCUGAAAGAGGAGUUUGUAAAAACAUACAUAUCCUAUUAGACAUCUAAGUGCUCAGGGCUAUAAAAGCUGCUAUUGUAGGCAGCUAUAAAUGUUUAGUAUUUGCAUUCUAACAGCAUCCAAAAUGUGCCCUGCUGUGUCCACACCUUCAUGAAAUCAGGGUUAAAGGAAUUCUUUCCCAUUUUGAAAUCAUCUGAGUAUUAUCAGAAUUUCCCAUUGAUUCCUUGAUUCAAAGAACUUACUUUUGCUACAACAGUAGAAUAUUUACUUAUGUAUAAAUAGGCUGUCUUGGGUUGACAUUUUGUAUUAUGAAUUUUAAUUAUCUAAUUUGUUGUUGGUCUAGUUUAAUUAUUUUAUAUUUUGACAAUGCAGUUAAAGCUCUAUUGUUUGUGGAUUGUAAAGAAGGAAGAACUGGAAAUAAAUUCCUUCAUUAUUAGGUUGAAGAGAAACCAUCUACCCCCACAAUCAUGUGGGACUAAUAUUGUGAAUGUUUUUCUUCUUGCAUUAAAGUAAACAGAUGAAAGGUCUACAAAAGUUUGUGGCCAGACAAACAAAGAAGUGAUUUACUAUGUUAAUUCAUUCUAAUUUCAUUAAUUUUUAAUGUGCAUUUUGUAGAACAAUGUUCUAUGCAAAAUUCCAAACUAAAAACCUGCUGUAUGAGAAGGAUGUUAAUAAAUUUGCUUAUUUAAGUAAGCUUGUUUUUAAAUUAAAAAUUGACCAUGA